rnacentral:lncRNA from 1 species
AUGGCUCACAAGUCUCUGUCUAGCCUGUUUGAGUCCAGGUAUCCUGAGAGGGACAACCAGGAGCAGAUUGCACAGUCAGAGAACGAGGAGGUAAAAACCAAGCAGUCCUGGAGGAAGUUGAAACGGUCUAAGGAAGCAGAACUUUGCAAAAGAACUCUAUCGGUUCCUGGGAUGGUCUGUGACAAGUCCAUACAUCAGAGCCAUAUCGAUUGUGCCUUCUGUGCUCCUCAGAACAGGUCCAGACUUAAUAGCUCACCAGCUUCCCAAAAGAGUUUGAGGAACACUUGCCAUUCUGAUUCACAGAGUUUGAAAUCUUGUCCUCAGGAACAGUCUGAAGACAGAAAAUAUCUGGAAGGAGGUGAGCUGCCUUGUGCUCCUUACUUAGAUUCUUACCAGAUCUCAGAAGAUGGCUUCGAGUCCAGUGUAGAGGAUAGGUCGCAAUCACCUGUACACCCAACUGUUUUUGCACUUGCAAACCAGAUGUCACCUACCUGGACCAGAUCUUUAAGCUGUUUUGAGACCACUGAUACGCCAACAAGGCCCAUGAGCCCUAAACCUCACAGUCCUGGUCUGGGCUGGACACACCGGAGGAGCUUCCGUUACCCCUCGAGAUCUGUUGCAUCUUCUCUCUGUUCGCUCGGUCAAGGAGUGAGCACUGACGGUAUCUCUGAUCCACCUCAGAGACCGACGUCUCUGAAACCAAGAACAGCACAACUCACAACAACCCACUCUUUUGAUUCUGAGUCCUUACUAGAGGACAGCAGUUCAGACAGCCAGUCUCAAAAUAGCCUGAAUUCAGCAUCCCUGAUCAACAAACCAGAGCAUGUACAGCACAGUACUGAGCCAGCCAUCCAGUCAGAAGAGAGAAGACAACAGGGAAGUGCAUGUGUGCUUCGGGUGAAGUCCAGACAGCAGGGUAAAGCUGCACCCAGACCCGUCUCAGACAUCUACGGUUGGACCGUGUCUCUUCAGGGCAUCAGGGAGGUGGCGCUUGAUCUGGAGAGGAAGAGCAAUUCGACCAAAACACGUCGGCGUUCAUGCUCAUAUGAAACAUUGACUGAUGUGGAGAACAUCCAUAAAAAGAAGCUUAACAUGCGGCAAAGUUUGCGUCAGCUUAGCACACCAACAUCUCAGAAGCACAAGAAAGUGCGUGCCAGACUUUCCCUCACUUCUCCAGAGCAGUUCCCCUCUGUUCCUCUCAAAGACCACUUCUUCUCCCAGAGCACACCUGUUGGGCUGGACUUUUUGGGCUGGCCUCACCGUGCAUCAUUUUCAGAAUCGAAUCUCAGCACACCAGCACAAGAGGCACAUGGACAGGUCCCCCCUCUGGGUGAGUUUGCUCCUUCUGAACCACAAUAUGAGCUGGACAAUGCUGUGAAAUAUUGAAGGGACAUUUAAAUCUGUUUGUUUGUUUAUCUGUGGCUGUUGAGUUGAACUAUUGUAUUUUCUCAGCUUGUGCAUUUUUAUGAAUUCUAAUAUGGUGAUUAUAUUAUGCUAUUUUAUUCUGCUGGCUAAUAGUCCAAUUGGCUUUUUAAAUGUGUGUGAUUUAAACUGGGGGUUUGAUGUCAUAUUUUUGAUGUCAUAUUGAUGUCUCCUUGCAAGAGUGCCUUUUUUCUAUAAAUACAGCUAUGUAUUUG